GGGCCCGCACAAGCGGUGGAGUAUGUGGUUUAAUUCGAUGCAACGCGAAGAACCUUACCAGGGUUUGACAUCCUGCGAACCUCUUGGAAACGAGAGGGUGCCUUCGGGAACGCAGUGACAGGUGGUGCAUGGCUGUCGUCAGCUCGUGUCGUGAGAUGUUGGUUAAGUCCCGCAACGAGCGCAACCCACGUCUUUAGUUGCCAGCAUUUAGUUGGGCACUCUAGAGAGACCGCCGGUGAUAAACCGGAGGAAGGUGUGGAUGACGUCAAGUCAUCAUGCCCCUUACAUCCUGGGCUACACACGUACUACAAUGCUACGGACAAAGGGCAGCAAGUUCGCGAGGAC
rnacentral:rRNA from 1 species